GUUUCAGUUCUAUCGUGAAUUCGCCUCUCACCCUCGUUCUCACCGGCACAAACGAACGGCGCCGGAGAAGCUUCUUUCUCCGAGCGGCCACCAUUAGACCAAACUCUCUUUCGGUUCCCUCUCUCGCUUGUUUUCCUCACCUCAUCCCUCAAUUUCUCGCUUAAAAAUCUAACAAGAGUAAACCCUAAGUCUAACAGAGUAGAUUCAAGUCUAAGCAUCAACGAAUUCCAGUCAAUCGAGGUUGAAACAAGCAUCACGGCAAGAAUAAUGAACAAUAGAGGGCAAGAAUGAAUGAUUAGGGAACUUACUGACCGGAGUAGCUUCCGGUGACUCUUCAAACUGAUGGCGUCAGAGAUGUGUCUUCGUGAAAUCCAGAGAUGCCGAUGAAAGAUUGGUAUGAAGUUGCGCGAGGAUGAAGAAGAAUUUGAAGGUGCUGAUGGGAAACUUUGAUUCGGUUCUUGGUGAAUGAUUUUCUGAAUGAUUGAUCGGAGAUUAUCGUGACGAUUCUUGGAGAAGAUUGAAGAUUGAGAGAGGGAAGAAUUGAACUCGAAAGUGAACUCGUAGAUGAAGAUGAAGACGGAGCUUCUGAGGUUUUCUGGUUUUUGUUGCAGAGAGGUGAAGGUGGAUCAAGUGGAAGAAAAUGGUGUUGAGUGGAAGAAGAUGAAGGAAUAGAGUUCAGAGAGAAUAUGAAUUGAGAGUGGAAGGAGAUGAUGGACUGAUUUAUGAAGAAAAUGGUGGAGAGAAGGAAAGUGGUGAAGAAUGAAUGAAUGGAGAAGGUUAUGGUGUAUAAAGAUGAAUGAAGAAGAAGAUUGAAGAUGGAGGGAGAAGUGAAGAGAUGAAGAUGAUGAUGAAUGGUGAGAAGUGAUGAAGUGAAUUGUGGAAAAUGGUGGAGGAAGCUGAGAAAUGAAGAAUGGUUCUGUUAUAUAGAGAUUGAAGCUGAGAAGGUUCUGAUUUGCAUUUGAAUUGGUGGCAUGCGUUGUUUACCGGCGAGUUUUGCCGGAGCUUUAGUAUGCAUCAGAUUUUCCAGAAAGGAAGACUUUGGAGAAGGCCUUAAAUCAGACAUGGUGCAAAAUCUUUACAUCUUUGGUGGAGCUGAGAACGCAACUGCAGAUAUAUACAUAUGUAUCGGGCAGCAAACUGUUUGAUUGAGGCAUAGGUUUAAGAUAGCACCAUUAGCAUCUUGUGUAACUUAAAUAUAAAACACUUGUGAAUCUGUAUAAUUCUAACUGAAAGGCAUCUUUCUUUCCACCUGACUUUCCUUUUUCUUUUUAAUGUGAAUGACACUUGAAGUUGUACCAUAGAUUUUGUAUAAGCUUGGAAUUCUAGUGUCUUCAUUAUGUAAUGCACCACUUUGAGAAUGACUUUGGAUGAAGCUUGAU